GAUGAAGAACGUAGCGAAUUGCGAUAAGUAAUGUGAAUUGCAGAUUUUCAGUGAAUCAUCGAAUCUUUGAACGCAUCUUGCGCUCCUUGGUAUUCCGAGGAGCAUGCCUGUUUGAGUGUCAUUUUAACUUCUCAACCAUAUCGAAUUGUUUUUCGAGGUGGCUUGGACAUGGGGGUUUUUGCAGGCUUUAAUAAUGAAGUCGGCUCCUCUGAAAUGCAUUAGUGGUAUCUGAAGCAGAACUGCUACUAUUAGGUGUGAUAAUUAUCUAUGCCUCUUGGUAUACUGCAUGAACAGAUUGCGCUGCUUCCAACUUGUACACCCUUUGGUGUUUGACAAAUUUGACCUCAAAUCAGGUAGGACUACCCGCUGAACUUAAGCAUAUCAAUAAGCGGAGGA
rnacentral:misc_RNA from 1 species